GAUGAACGCUGGCGGCGUGCCUAAUACAUGCAAGUCGAGCGAACAGACGAGGAGCUUGCUCCUCUGACGUUAGCGGCGGACGGGUGAGUAACACGUGGAUAACCUACCUAUAAGACUGGGAUAACUUCGGGAAACAGGAGCUAAUACCGGAUAAUAUAUUGAACUGCAUGGUUCAAUCGUUAAAGACGGUUUUGCUGUCGCUUAUAGAUGGAUCCGAGCUGUAUUAGCUAGUUGGUAGGGUAACGGCUUACCCAGGCAACGAUGCGUAGCCGACCUGAGAGGCGGAGCUGCCAAGCUGGAAUUGAAGCAUGGUCCAGAAUCCUACGGGAGGCACCAGGAGGGAAUUUCCCGCAAUGGGAGCAAGCCUGACGGAGCAACGCCGCGUGAAUGAUGAAGGUCUUCGGAUCGUAAAACUCAGUUAUGAGUGAAGAUUAAAUGGGUAAGUAACUAUGCACGUCUUGACGAUACCUAAUCAGAAAGCCACGGCUAACUACGUG
rnacentral:rRNA from 1 species